CUCCACUUUCUAUGUGCUCUGGAUUAUAUGUGCCCACGUGGCGGGAAAACCGACUAAUCACGGCCCUGCAAAACACUGGGUCAACUCAGGUGACUUCCCUUCCAGGGGGUGUCGAUUUUUGGAAAUUCCAGUGCUGCAGACGCUGACUUUUAUCCCCAGGGUACUGGUAUUUUAUUGGCUGGUGGUGCAUUGCGCAAAUAUGUUGCCCAAUCAGACGGCAAGAAAACUGGGAAAUUCCGCGUGCAGAGUGGGAAAUUCCGGGCGUGGGUUUUGGUACAUAUGCUGUAAAGUGUUUGACCCGCUGCUGAGGAGCGGCCUAGAUCAAAGUCACGGCGAACGCUUGUUGGUUAAUUACCCACACACCUUCCAUGCCUUCAACUGUGGCUGGUAAAUGGUGCGUUUGAGGAUUUGCAACGAAACAACAACGCAGACAACCCGCAAGGAGGCAGCACUUCGAGCAAAUUUUUGUGCAUUUUGAUACCAAGAUCGCCAUCACAUUGGUGAAAUCUCAAUACCCAGCGGGGCUUUGGAGACAGCUGCAGAGCAGAGUGAUGACAUGGCGGUUUACUUUAGAACAAAACAGAUAAAUCGUCAUCAUUGUGGGAAAUAUGAGAAAAUACAAGCCCUUCCAUAGCACGAAGAAACAAGAAAAUGCUGCUUGCAAGGAUUGCAUAUGUGGUACAAUGAUUAAGGCGAUUUUUCAUUAAAGGCAGCAAGACAAGCACCGCGCACCAUACGGCGUGUGGUAAUACUGCUGGAUCCCGCCUCUUGAAGAUGAGCACUAGUAGAGGAAGGACCGACAGACGAUUUCGGGCAGCUCACCAGUCUGUUUAGUGUAAUGCCUUCUGAAAUAUUUCCCUUCAAUUCUUGGUCUUUGGCGGCCGUUGCUAUGGUAUUACGAAUUCAUGUAAUUCAGAUAUUUUAAGCUCUUCCAAGAAGGUCUAUUUCUUCCCGUGCAGACACGAUGCAGAGUCGAUCGAGACACGGUUUUAUUGUCCUUGAGUCCCCAAAUAGAAUUCUCUCCAGGGUAGCACAUAACCGGCGCUGCACGCUACGGGGGGGCGAAUAAGACAAGGUUUAUUUCCACCUCAAACACACGAAAAAUCUUCACCGAGAAACAACGAGCCACGCUAGUGCAGCUAGCCAACGGACGAAGAAGCUUGUUCGCAGAUUCUGUAGCCAGGAUCCAGCGUGAUCGUCGCGCGAUGGGAAUUUCCCCUCCUCCCGAGUCAACUCCCCCGUUUUUCUCUGCUGUCCUACCUUGGACGGGGUCCAUCCAGGUCCCAUAUUUGCAUAUCGUCUGCACAGUACUGGGUACAGUGUUUACGGAAGGGGAAAAACUCGUGGCAUGAUUUCUAAUUUUAGGAAAAUCUUGUAGGUGGU